ACAGAAAUGAUGACUUUAUAUUACCGCCCCAGUCUGAAGAUUCAUGACUGAUCGGUACCCCUCUGAUCCACG